GAUGAACGCUGGCGGCGUGCUUAACACAUGCAAGUCGAACGAAGCAUUUAGGACAGAUUACUUCGGUUUGAAGUUCUUUAUGACUGAGUGGCGGACGGGUGAGUAACGCGUGGGUAACCUGCCUUGUACUGGGGGAUAGCAGCUGGAAACGGCUGGUAAUACCGCAUAAGCGCACAAUGUUGCAUGACAUGGUGUGAAAAACUCCGGUGGUAUAAGAUGGACCCGCGUCUGAUUAGCUAGUUGGUGAGAUAACAGCCCACCAAGGCGACGAUCAGUAGCCGACCUGAGAGGGUGACCGGCCACAUUGGGACUGAGACACGGCCCAGACUCCUACGGGAGGCAGCAGUGGGAAAUAUUGCACAAUGGAGGAAACUCUGAUGCAGCGACGCCGCGUGAGUGAAGAAGUAAUUCGUUAUGUAAAGCUCUAUCAGCAGGGAAGAUAGUGACGGUACCUGACUAAGAAGCUCCGGCUAAAUACGUG
rnacentral:rRNA from 1 species